rnacentral:lncRNA from 1 species
AGGUCCCAGGGAUUGUCAGCUGACCUCUGUCCUGUGUGCCCAGUGGCCCCAGGUGACGUGUCUUCAAGAAGAGGCUGAGCUGCGGUGCUUGUAAGAGUCAUGUGCUGUUCCUGGGGCUUGGAUGAUGUAGGGGAAGCAAGGUGAAAGUGGUAUCCCGUGGUUCCACGUUCUGUCCUGCUGUGGGGCUGUCCCUCACAUGCUUUCAGUGGCUGUUGCAGAGGAAGAGCCUCCGGAAAUCUGCGUGGAAUCUCUUGGUGGUGU